rnacentral:rRNA from 1 species
UCCGGGACGAUUGAGUCCUGGGUGGUACAGCGAAAGCGUUAAGUAUUCCACCUGGGGAGUACGCCGGCAACGGUGAAACUCAAAGGAAUUGACGGGGGCCCGCACAAGCGGAGGAACAUGUGGUUUAAUUCGAUGAUACGCGAGGAACCUUACCCGGGCUCAAACGACGGACGAAUGUUUUUGAAAGGAGGCAGACCUUCGGGGCGUCCGUCGAGGUGCUGCAUGGUUGUCGUCAGCUCGUGCCGUGAGGUGUCGGCUUAAGUGCCAUAACGAGCGCAACCCCCAUCGCCAGUUACCAUCAAGUGAAGUUGGGGACUCUGGCGAGACUGCCGGCGCAAGCUGCGAGGAAGGCGGGGAUGACGUCAAAUCAGCACGGCCCUUACGUCCGGGGCGACACACGUGUUACAAUGGCAGGCACAGAGAGAAGCGACAUGGCGACAUGAAGCGGAACUGUCAAAACCUGUCUCAGUUCGGAUUGGAGUCUGCAACCCGACUCCAUGAAGCUGGAUUCGCUAGUAAUCGCGCAUCAGCCACGGCGCGGUGAAUACGUUCCCGGGCCUUGUACACACCGCCCGUCAAGCCAUGGAAGCCGGGAGUGCCUGAAGUGUGCAACCGCAAGGAGCGCCCUAAGGUAAAACCGGUGACAGGGGCUAAGUCGUAAC